GCUCCAAUUGUUGGCACCUAAAGAGUCUCCUAAAGUAAGUUGGAUAACUUAAGUUAAUAGAAAACCCAAUGCAAGUAGAACGUAUAUUAUGUGGUUGUAUAGGAUUCAAUCUUUGUACCUAUUUAAAGAGACCUCCCCUAAGAUCUCUAGAGCAUCAAAACCAGCAGCUCCUCACACCUAGAAGAAGUCCCCACGCCCUCUCUUCC
rnacentral:lncRNA from 1 species